UAGAGUUUAGGUUAAAUUAAACUUUGAAUUUUCAAGAUUCAAGAUAAGGGUUAACUCUAG
rnacentral:tRNA from 1 species